AUUGAACGCUGGCGGCAGGCCUAACACAUGCAAGUCGAGCGAGCGGCGGACGGGUGAGUAAUGUCUGGGAAACUGCCUGAUGGAGGGGGAUAACUACUGGAAACGGUAGCUAAUACCGCAUACCAUCAGAUGUGCCCAGAUGGGAUUAGCUAGUAGGUGGGGUAACGGCUCACCAAGGCGACGAUCCCUAGCUGGUCUGAGCGGAUGACCAGACACAUUGGAACUGAGACACGGUCCAGACGCCUACGGGAGGCAGCAGGAGGGAAUAUUGCACAAGGGGCGAAAGCCUGAUGGAGCCAUGCCGCGUGAGUGAAGAAGGCCUUCGGAUUGUAAAACUCUUUCAGCGGGGAGGCGUUACCCAAAGAGAAAGCACCGGCUAACUCCGUGCCAGCCGCCGCGGUAAUUC
rnacentral:rRNA from 1 species